rnacentral:rRNA from 1 species
AUUGAACGCUGGCGGCAGGCCUAACACAUGCAAGUCGAACGAGUGGCGGACGGGUGAGUAAUGGCUGGGAAACUGCCUGAUGGAGGGGGAUAACUACUGGAACCGGUAGCUAAUACCGCAUACCAUCAGAUGUGCCCAGAUGGGAUUAGCUUGUUGGGGGGGUAAAGGCUCACCAAGGCGACGCUCCCUAGCUGGGCUGAGAGGAUGACCAGGCACACCUGAACCGAGACACGGUCCAGACUCCCACGGGAGGGAGCAGUGGGGAAAAUUUCACAAUGGGCCCAAGCCUUAUGCAGCCAUGCCGCGGUGAGUAAGAAGGCCUUCGGGUUGUAAAGUACUUUCAGCGGGGAGGCGUUACCCGCAGAAGAAGCCCCGGCUAACUCCGGUCCAGCAGCCGCGGUAAUUC